rnacentral:rRNA from 1 species
UACAAAGGGUCGCGAAGCCGCGAGGUGGAGCUAAUCCCAUAAAACUAUUCUCAGUUCGGAUUGUAGGCUGCAACUCGCCUACAUGAAGCCGGAAUCGCUAGUAAUCGUGGAUCAGCAUGCCACGGUGAAUACGUUCCCGGGCCUUGUACACACCGCCCGUCACACCACGAGAGUUUGUAACACCCGAAGUCGGUAGGGUAACCUUUAUGGAGCCAGCCGCCGAAGGUGGGACAGAUAAUUGGGGUGAAGUCGUAACAAGGUAGCCGUAUCGGAAGGUGCGGCUGGAUCACCUCCUUUCUAAGGAA